CGGGAGAAAUCCCGUCUAAUACGGCAUAAUGCAUCGACGGGACAUCCUGUUGGUGCCAAAGGUUAAUUCCGGUGGCGGAUGGGCAUGCGUCGCAUUAGUUAGUUGGCGGUGUAACGGACCACCAAGACGACGAUGCGUAGGGGUUCUGAGAGGAAGGUCCCCCACACUGGUACUGAGACACGGACCAGACUCCUACGGGAGGCAGCAGUGAGGAAUAUUGGUCAAUGGGCGGGAGCCUGAACCAGCCAAGUCGCGUGAGGGAUGACGGCCCUAUGGGUUGUAAACCUCUUUUGCCGGGGAGCAAAGUGCCGCACGUGUGCGGUUUGGAGAGUACCCGGAGAAAAAGCAUCGGCUAACUCCGUGCCAGCAGCCGCGGUAAUACGGAGGAUGCGAGCGUUAUCCGGAUUUAUUGGGUUUGAAGGGUGCGUAGGCGGACGCUUAAGUCAGCGGUAAAAUUGCGGGGCUCAACCUCGUCGAGCCGUUGAAACUGGGUGCCUUGAGUGGGCGAGAAGUACGCGGAAUGCGUGGUGUAGCGGUGAAAUGCAUAGAUAUCACGCAGAACUCCGAUUGCGAAGGCAGCGUACCGGCGCCCAACUGACGCUGAAGCACGAAGGCGUGGGUAUCGAACAGGAUUAGAUACCCUGGUAGUCCACGCAGUAAACGAUGAAUGCUAGUUGUCCGGGGCGAUUGAGUUCUGGGUGACACAGCGAAAGCGUUAAGCAUUCCACCUGGG
rnacentral:rRNA from 1 species